rnacentral:rRNA from 1 species
UACAGGGGGGGGCAAGCGUUUGUUCGGAAUUACUGGGCGUAAAGGGUUCGUAGGUGGCCAACUAAGUCAGACGUGAAAUCCCUCAGCUUAACUGGGGAACUGCGUCUGAUACUGGAUGGCUUGAGUGUAGGAGAGGAAUGCGGAAUUCCAGGUGUAGCGGUGAAAUGCGUAGAUAUCUGGAGGAACACCGGUGGCGAAGGCGGCAUUCUGGACUACAACUGACACUGAGGAACGAAAGCCAGGGGAGCAAACGGGG